rnacentral:rRNA from 1 species
CCUACGGGAGGCAGCAGUGGGGAAUUUUGGACAAUGGGCGCAAGCCUGAUCCAGCAAUGCCGCGUGAGUGAAGAAGGCCUUCGGGUUGUAAAGCUCUUUUGUCAGGGAAGAAACGGUCUACUCUAAUACAGUGGGCUAAUGACGGUACCUGAAGAAUAAGCACCGGCUAACUACGUGCCAGCAGCCGCGGUAAUACGUAGGGUGCAAGCGUUAAUCGGAAUUACUGGGCGUAAAGCGUGCGCAGGCGGUUAUAUAAGUCAGAUGUGAAAUCCCCGGGCUCAACCUGGGAACUGCAUUUGAGACUGUAUGGCUAGAGUGUGUCAGAGGGGGGUAGAAUUCCACGUGUAGCAGUGAAAUGCGUAGAUAUGUGGAGGAAUACCGAUGGCGAAGGCAGCCCCCUGGGAUAACACUGACGCUCAUGCACGAAAGCGUGGGGAGCAAACAGGAUUAGAUACCCUGGUAGUCCACGCCCUAAACGAUGUCUACUAGUUGUCGGGACUUAAUUGUCCUUGGUAACGCAGCUAACGCGUGAAGUAGACCGCCUGGGGAUACGGUCGCAAGNUUAAAACCUAGAAGUAUCGGNGNGNGAGAGCGACGACGACGACGACGGAGGGAGGAGG